CUACGGAGAACCGCUCACUACCCUGGACGGUAGGGACUGUUAUUGCGUCCAUUCCGCAGAGUGGUAAACCGAGCCUCCGAGCCGCGGGGGGCUUCGAACUCGUCUGACUCCCCAGCGCAGGCAGGCCUCUUUAAGUGGACGAUCCUUCUUUAGGCUUCCAGAAAAAGGAAGGAAGCCGCGUGGUCCUGACGCUCCGAAACCCCCGCUUACGUCCCCAGGCUCCUCGGGGAAACUGAGGUAGCACACUUGGAAUGGAGGGGGGCGCUCGGACCCUUGCUUUCCUCAUGGAAACAGCCCCUACGCCCCCGAAGUAGGGCGGGGAGAGGAGGUCAAACUCCUAAAAGCGUGCACCUGCCUCCUGAAACUUGAACUCUGGGCACCACCGGUAUAAAUUUGUGAGGGUAUUUGCUGGGGCUAGUUCCAUUAGGGCGGGACGCGGUUGGAGGCAUCGUGUGUGACCCCAAGACUUGGCAUCUACCACGUCGAGGCUGGGGACCCUGGGGUGUCCCAGUGCCUACCCGCGCCGCCUGACUUCCUGUUGUGGGACGCGCGCCGCGUCGCCAUGGAGACCUCUCAGGGGCCAGGCCCUGCGGUGCUUAGUGAGUGCCCGCUGUGCUAGGAAUCCUUCCAGGUGGCUGGCAACACGGCAGUGAUAAGGAAAGGCAAACAUUUCGCCAUUGUGCAGAGAUGGUUUCAGCGGCGGGGACAGAUAAGAAACAAAUAUACAAUUGAGGUGGGAGCCAUGGAGGGUUCUGAGCAGGGGAGGGACAGCCCCGGCUCGAGUGUUUACAGGCACCCUCCUGAGACGGCAGGAUCCACAUUCCUGGGCCAGGGAGGACAAGAUGGAGGCCAGGAGGCCAGGGAGGAGGUGGCUACUCUAGUCGAGUUUUUAGUCACCAUGCUGGCCAUCGCAGCCCCAGGACCUAGUUACCUUGUAACCAGAAGUUGGUGCCCUUUGACCCCCUUCUCUCCGUUCCCCACCCCCUGCCUGUGGCAGCCACCUGUCGGGUCCCUGCAUUAAAAAAAAUUCACGUGUUUCUUU